UGCAGCCAUGCCGCGUGUGUGAAGAAGGCUCUAGGGUUGUAAAGCACUUUCAGUGGGGAGGAAAGGUUGAAGGUUAAUACCCUUCAGCUGUGACGUUACCCACAGAAGAAGCACCGGCUAACUCCGUGCCAGCAGCCGCGGUAAUACGGAGGGUGCGAGCGUUAAUCGGAAUUACUGGGCGUAAAGCGUGCGUAGGCGGCCACCUAAGUUGGAUGUGAAAGCCCCGGGCUCAACCUGGGAACUGCAUCCAAAACUGGGUGGCUGGAGUACGGGAGAGGAGUGUGGAAUUUCCUGUGUAGCGGUGAAAUGCGUAGAUAUAGGAAGGAACACCAGUGGCGAAGGCGACACUCUGGCCUGAUACUGACGCUGAGGUACGAAAGCGUGGGGAGCAAACAGGAUUAGAUACCCUGGUA
rnacentral:rRNA from 1 species